UACGUAGGGGGCAAGCGUUAUCCGGAUUUAUUGGGCGUAAAGGGUGCGUAGGCGGCGCGGUAAGUCGGGUGUGAAAUCUCGGAGCUUAACUCCGAAACUGCAUUCGAUACUGCCGUGCUUGAGGACUGGAGAGGAGACUGGAAUUUACGGUGUAGCGGUGAAAUGCGUAGAUAUCGUAAGGAAGACCAGUGGCGAAGGCGGGUCUCUGGACAGUUCCUGACGCUGAGGCACGAAGGUCAGGGGAGCAAACGGG
rnacentral:rRNA from 1 species